GGGGGUGUACAGGUUUCGACGGGGAUAGGAAGCUGAUGGUUGCAUGCCGAGGUCCGGGCUGGCCUCGUUAAAAAGCCCGGGGCGAAUUACACGCCGAUAAUUACGACUACGCUGUAGCAGCUUAAUAACCUGCUACCGAUCCGCUGAGCCUCUCCCACGGGUGAAGAUGGAUCGUCAUUUUAGUGGGAUAGUUGCGGGGAGGGUCCACGGCCCCAAGGCGAAACCUUAGUGGAAUCGCUUCCCGGAAAUCCCUGCCAGGGGAGAGUCGGGCGGCUAAAUCAAAUCCUGGUAUAAGCAUGUAGACGCCUUCGGUGUAUGAUCUUCGGACGCGGGUUCGACUCCCGCCACCUCCACCA
rfam:Geobacter sulfurreducens PCA, complete genome.